ACGAACGUUGGCGGCGUGGAUUAGGCAUGCAAGGUCGAACGAAUCCCACUGCUGUAGCAAUACAGUGGUGGGGGAAGUGGCGAAAGGGGCAGUAAGGCGUGGGUAACCUACCCCGGGACGUGGAUAGCCGGUCUAACGGGCCGGGUAAUACGCGGCGAUUCAGCGAAGGGGCAUCUCUUUGCUGGGAAAUGAAUUUCGCCUCGGGAGGGGGCUCACGUGAUAUUAGCUUGUUGGGGUGGCGGGGGGUAAACGGCCCACCAAGGCAAAGAUGUCUAAGCGGGUUGUGAGAGCACGACCCGCGCCAACUGGCACUGAGACACUGGCCAGACACCUACGGGUGGCUGCAGUCGAGGAUCUUCGGCAAUGGGCGCAAAGCCUGACCGAGCGACGCCGCGUGUGCGAUGAAGGCCUUCGGGUUUGUAAAGCACUGUUCGAGGGGGGAUAAAGCCGAAAGGUUGAUUGAUCCCUGGAGGGAAGCACGGGCUAAGUUCGUGCCAGCAGCCGCGGGUAAGACGAACCGUGCGAACGUUUGUUCGGAAAUCACUGGGCUUAAAGGGCGCGUAGGCCGGCAGAUCAAGGUCCGGGGUGGAAGCCCGCAGCUCAACUGUGGAAGUGCCUUGGAUACUGAUUUGCUCGAGGGAGGUAGGGGUCGAGGGAACUUCUGGUGGAGCGGUGAAAUGCGUUGAUAUCAGAAGGAACGCCGGUGGCGGAAAGGAAGGAAGCGCUCGACUGGAUCUCUUCUGACGCUGAAGCGCGGAAAGCUAGGGGAGCAAACGGGAUUAGAUACCCCGGGUAGUCCCUAGCCCUAAAACGAUGAGUACUAGAUUGUGGACUAGUCAUGGGUUCACAGUCGAAGCAAAAGUGUUAAGUACUCCGCCUGGGGAGUAUGGUCGCAAGACUGAAACUCAAAGGAAAUUGACGGGGGCUCACACAAGCGGUGGAGCAUGUGGCUUAAUUCGAGGCUACGCGAAGAACCUUAUCCUAGGCUUGACAUGUGCGAAAGCGCUGGGGAGUAGGCUGCCGAAAGGCCAGCCCAACGGUAACCAGUCCCGGAACCCAGUACAGGUUGCUGCAUGGCUGUCGUCAGCUCGUUGUCGUGAGAUGUCGGGUUAAGUCCCAUAACGAGCGAAACCCUUGUCUACAGUUGCCAGCGCGUCCAUGGCGGGGACUCUGUAGAGACUGCCGGCGUCAAGCCGGAGGAAGGUGGGGAUGACGUCAAGUCCUCAUGGCCUUUAGUGCCUAGGGCUGCACACGUGCUACAAUGGUACGAACAAAGGGAUGCCAACCUGCGAGGGGGAGCCAAUCCCCAAAAAAACGUGCCCCAGUUCAGAUCGGAGGCUGCAACUCGCCUCCGUGAAGUUGGAAUCGCUAGUAAUCGCGGGUCAGCAACACCGCGGUGAAUGUGUUCCUGAGCCUUGUACACACCGCCCGUUCAAGCCACGAAAGGGAGGGACAUCCGAAGUCGUCUUUACCGGCGCCGAAGAUGGACUUCCCUGAUUGGGACU
rnacentral:rRNA from 1 species